GCCCUUGCUGCUUCUGGCCUCUCUAGCUGGGGCUGUGGCUUUAAGCCCCUGGACUGGUUGCCAGCCUUUCAGGGCUGUGGUUUUGGUCCCCAGGAUUGGUACCAAAUUUGAAGAAACCAACAGGAGGCUCACCCAAUGGGGUUCUGUGAAGCAUCAGAAGAGAGAAAUACACACGAUUGUUGUGUAGCCAGGCUGGGUCACCCUCUCGCUCAGGUGCUGCAUGAUUCGAAGCAGGAGACGUUUCCCCCAGGCUGCAUCCUGAUUGGGGUCAUUGGAGACAAUGGGGUCAUUGGGGUCUAUGGGGACAUUGGAGUCAAUGGGGUCACUGGGGUCAAUGGGGGUCAAUGGGGUCAGUGGGGGCCGUAGGGGUCUUUGUGGUCAUUGAAUUAAAUGGGGUUAUUAGAGUGAAUGGGGUCAUUGGUGUCAGUGGGGUCAUUGGAGUAAAUAGGGUCAUUGAAGUGAAUGGGGUCAUUGGAUUCAAUCGGAUCAUAAGGGUCAAUGUGGUCCCUGCGGCAAUGGGGGUCAUUAGGGUCAAAGGGUGUUAUUGGGGUCAUUGUAGUCAAUGGAGUCAUUGGGGUCAAUUGGUUCAUUGGGGUCAAGUGGCUUAAUGAGGUCAGUGGGGGUUAUUGGAGUCAAUGGAGUCAUUGGGAUUAAUGGGGUCAGUGGGGUCAAUAGGGUCAUAUGAGCUUAAUGGGGUCACUGGGGUCACUGGGUCAAAAGGGUCAAUGGGGUCAGUGGGGCCAAUGGGGUUACUGGAGGCCAGAAGGGUUUGGGCUUCCAAGCAAUCACCAAGCUUUUGGAUGAGCCAGCCCUCUGCUUUUUGUGAGGACAGACCCCAACGAGCCCACAUAACCCAAAUAACCUCCUUGACCCCCACAGACAAGUCCUCCUUGGAAAGCCAUCUCGGCAAGGGCAGAAUAGCGCUGUUCUUGGGCCGCAGCACUCCAUGGCCAGGCGCUGCUCAGACGCUGGGGCUGCAUUUCCUCCUGGGCACCCACACAUGCUGCGAUUCCCCUGCAGGUUCCUGCCGGGUUUGUGGCUUCCUGCUGGGGAACUCCUCAUCUUCUUCUGCAACUGCCCCCCAACGUCACUACUGCCUCCUCUGGUGCCGUACUGGCAGAUGCCUCAGCGUUCAUGAGCCUGGACUUCCUGCCUCCCAUCAGCAGCUGCUCCUUCAUUCAUACUGCAAUACCGUCCACUUCCAGCACCAGCAGAGCUGCAAGGCAGAGAUGGGAAACGUGGGAUUAAUGCAAACGCAGAAGCCCAAGGCUGUCCCACCACCACGUAUUGCAGCCUUGGAAGGUCAGCUGCAACUACAACCUCUGUCAGAAUCAAAACAGGCACCGUACAUUAAGGGUGACCUCUGAACUGAAGGAAUUACCACAGUCUGGAAAUAAAUACUGAAAUUGCUCAUUUAUCUGUAGGUGGUUACCGCUGUAUUCUUUGGCUUUUGGGAAAAUGUGGACUUGGAAUUGAAGGAUACAAGGAAAAGGAGCAGCACUUGGCAACUCCUGCAAACUGAGCAGUGCGGGGAAGAUUGUGUCAUUUCUUCUCCGGGCCCACAAAUUAAGUUUCCUUCCUUACAAAGAGAAGGGAAAAAGAGCCUGACAUAAAGGAGGACACAGUGCAGUCUCACCUCACACGUAGAAGAAGGAGAGCUCUCAUGGCACUAAUCAUAGAAUCACAGGAAUCAUAGGAUGGCCUGGGUUGAAAAGGACCGUCAAAGGUCAUUGAGUUCCAACCCCCAGCUAUGUGCAGGGUCGCCAACCACCAGACCAGGCUGCCCAGGAGCCACAUCCUUGGCCCUGAAUGCCUCCAUGGAUGAGGCAUCCACAACCUCCCUGGGCAACCUCUUCCAGCUGCGUCAGCACCCUCUGAGUGUAAAACUUCCUCCUAGUAGCUAAUGUAAAUUCUCCCAGUCUCCAUUGAAAAGCAUUCCUCCUUAUCCUAUCACUAUCCACCCUCAUAAACAGCCGGUCCCCCUCCUGGUUAGAUGCUCCCUUCAGGUACUGAAAGGCCACAAUGGGGUCUCCCCAGAGCCUUCUCUUCUCCAGGCUAAACAAGACCAGUUCCCUCAACCUUUCCUCACAGGAGAGGUGCUCCAGCCCUCUGGCCAUCUUAGUGGCCCUCCCCUGGACCCGCUCCAACAGCUCCACGUCCUUCCUGUGCUGGGGACCCCAGGCCUGGACGCAGUACUGCAGAUGGGAUCGAGUAGAGGGGCACAAUCACUCCCUCUCCCUGCUGGCCACCGCUUUUUGAAUGCAGCCCAGCACACAGUUGGCCUUCCGGGCUGCAAGCACACACUGCUGGCUCACGUGCAGCUUCUCGCCCACCAGGACCCCCAAGUCCUUCUCCGCGGGGCUGCUCUCAGAGAGAUCUUCCCCCACUCUGUAUAAAUACCUGGGAUUGCCCCGACCCAAUGCAGCACCCUGCGCUUGGCCUUGCUGAACCUCAUCAAGUUCUCGUGGGCCCACUUCUCCAGCCUGCCCAGGUCCCUCGGGAUGGCUUCCCUUCCCUCCAACGUAGCGACUGCACCGCUCAGCUUGGUGUCAUCCGCAAACUUGCUGAGGGUGCACUCGAUGCCAUCGUCUGUCACUGAUGGAGAUGCUGAAGAGCACCGGUGCCAAGACCGACCCCCGAGGGACACCGCUUGGGACCGGCCCCCACCCUGGCACAGACCCACUGAUCACAACCCUUUGGCUGCGUCCAGCCAGCCAGUUCCUAAUCCACUCAACAGGCAAUCCUUCACAUCCACACCUCUCCAGUGUAGAGUGCGGAAUGUGGUGAGGGACCAUGGCAAAGGCCUUGCAGCAGUCCAGGUAGAUGACAUCCACCGCCCCUCCCCCGUCCACUGAAGCCGUCACUCCAUCACAGAAGGCCACCGGAUCGGCCAGGCACGAUCUGCCCUUGGUGAAGCCAUGCUGGCUGUCUCGGAUCACCUCUUUGUCUCGGAUGUGCCUUAACACAGCUUCUAGGAGGAUCUGCUCCAGGACCUUCCCAGGCACAGAGCUGCGGCUCACCGACCCGUAGUUCCCCGGGUCCUCCUUUCUCCCGUCCUUACAAAUGGGAGCACUGUUUCCCUUUCUGCUUUUCCAGUCACCGGGAACUUCCCCAGUCAGCCGGGACUUUUCCGAUGCAACGGAGAGCGGCUCGGCACCACAUCAGCCAUCUCGCAGAAGCCUGGGAUGGAUAUCAUCCGGCCCCACGGACUUACAUACAUUCAGUUCCCCGCGGAGGACUCAGACUUCUUCCGCCGUUACAGUGGGACGGAAUGCGCUCCUCUCACCCACACCGAGGGCUUCAGGGUCCCGGCAGGCACGGGAAGCCCGACCACCUGCAAAGACCGAGGCAAAGCUCUCACUGAGCACCUCAGCCUUUGCCAUGGCUGCCCACUGCCUUUCAUCCGAGGGAGCGCUCUCCUCGGCCCGUCUCCUCCUGCCUGUGGAGCUGCAGAUGAGGCUGCACGCGUCAUUGCGCGUGCACUGCUGUGCAACGGGAUGGGGUUGCAUGUGUGUGCGUGCAUGUGGUUGCACGCAGGGAUGGGGCCACACACGCGUGUGUGCUGUGGGCAAACAAACCGCUGUGGUGCUUCAGGGAGAGCCUCACCGCCUUUUUGCUGCUCCCGGCAGCGCCUCGCCGCCAUACUUUGCUUCUUGGAACCGCUUCCUGUCGCUGCCGCUGCUUUGAGGGUGUCCGCUCUGCUCCCAGCUCGGUGCAGGCCCGUGCCGGCCUCUCAUUGGUCAGCAGAGGCUCCAUCCCGCCCUUGCUGGCCUCUCAUUGGUCAGAAGCAGCUCUGACCCACCCCGGUGGCCUCUAAUUGGUGAUCGGCAGUUCCAUCCCGCCACUGCUGGCUCUCAUUGGUCAGCAGCAGCUCUAAGCCACCCCCGGUGGCCUCUCAUUGGUCAGCGGCAGCUCCAUCCCGCCCCUGCUGGCCUCUCAUUGGUCAACGGCAUUUCUGGCCCGCCCCUGGCCUCUGAUUGGUGAGCGGCAGCGCCGCCAGCUCCAAUUCGGCUGAGGGGCAGAGCGCGCCGUUGGCAACCGGCUUGGAAUCGCCCAGCUGUCCCCUCAGACGGCAGCCCGUGGCCGUCCCCUUCGCCGUGGGAUGCGGGGAUUUGGGGCGGCUGAAGGAGUCGGGGCCCCCACCGCUGUAGCGCUGCUGCCCCCAUUAGGGCCUGGAACCCCGAGCCUCCAGCUCUGCUCGCGGUGCCCCCCAAGGCUGAGGUUUCAGUCUGCAGUCUGCUGAUCCGAAAGAAAGAAGGCGGCUUUUGGAGGACUUAAUCAUGGCGAGUCGAGCUGCUGCUGAACCUCCCCUUCCAACAUCCAGCAGGUUUGUUCUGCAGGCCCCGAUGAUGGCACAGGCAUGAAAGAGCCCAGAGCUCGUCGCUGGGGAGAGGCUGCGUAUGGCGUUGUGAAGGGAGAGAUGGAGGAGGGGUUUGAGCAGCGCUGUGCAGGAAUGAACGGCUGGCAGGAGUCGGGCAGCGGUACUGCAGCUCCUCUGGCAGCUUUGCAGCUCAGUUGGGAAGCAGAAGAUGUGGAUGUGAAAGAAGAAGUCCGUUGCUGGGACGUUCCCCUGUUCUUCCCCCAGCUGUCCCCUUGCCUCAGCCUGGAUUCCCCUUGCAUUCCUGUAGGAUUCCCUUCCAUCCCCCUGGCUGCCCCUUGCUUUCCCCAAGGCUGCCCUUUCCUUUCUCAUGACAGCCCACCCAUCAUUCCCUCAGAGCCCAUAUAUCCCUCCCAGUGUUUCCCAGCAAGACCCCUAGAGACACCCUGUAGCCCCCCACAGAGCCCUGGAGCCCCUCAGGAACCCCCUCAGACCCAGUACACCUCCCCCGUAGCUGGCCCAUACCCACAUGGAGCCCCACAGUCCCCAGCAGCACCCCAUGUCCCCCACUGGGCUUCCCCGGAAUCCUCCUAUUUCCUCCCUCAGACCUCCUUUACACCUCCAAGAUCCCCCCUGGGAACUCACUGACCCCCAUGUUCCCUUGACAGUACCCCCAUCACCAUCCAGUGACCCCCAUAGCCCACCUUUGGCCUCUCCUCCCCCUGACCUGCCUCCAGAUCCCGUACAACCUCACAGUGCUGUGGCAUGGAUGGCUUCUGCAGCUGACUUGGAUUUCUUCUGCCACUGUCCCGUGAAGGAGUUGAUUUGCUUCAGUCCAUCCCUGCUCUGUUCCUGAUUCAAGCCAAGCUCCAGUCCCUUCCCUGGUCUCAGUGGGAUCAGUUUGUUCUGUUCUCAUGCACUUACAGAAACAGAAGCUACCAACCCACCAAACCCUGGGACAGGUAUUUCCCUACAGAAGCAUUCAUGUCCUUCUGCUGGCCCCUUUGGCCAGCUCCCAGCUCUCCAAACUGAGGCGUACGGCUGCAGCCCACCCCAUGGCUUCUCUGGGGCAGCUGUGGGGCAGCCCCACCCUGAGGAGGAGAUGCCUUUUCCUAGCAUGCAGCUGGUUCUAUGGCCACAUGGGGUGAGGACGUGGGGUCGUGGGUCACAUGGGGGUCCUGCAGGGUCACAGAGUUACAGGGUGAUGUGGGGCUAUGGGGUCAGAUGGGGUUCUGAAUCACAGUGAUAGGGUCAGAUUGGAUGGUAGGGACAGAUGGGGUGACAUGGAGUUACGGAUCACAUGGGUUGUAUGGUUGGGUGAGGUGGGGGCAGGGAUCCCAGAGUUAUGGGCCACAUGGAGUCGGGUCGCAGCGUGAUGGGGGCAGGCAGAGUCAGGGAGUCACAGGGUCAUGUGGGGGUAUGGUUCCCCCAGGGCUGUGGGUCACGUGCAGCCAUGGGGUCACGCACAUACAGGGCGAUGAGGUCAUCUUGGGUUAUGGCUCAUGUGGGGUUACGGCUCAGGGCCCCACCUUUGGGCCACAGGGACGCCCAGUCCCCUCUCAGGAUGAAUUGAAACCACUGCAACUCUGCCCCCCCCCCCCCCCUCUUUUUACCUCAAACCUGCUCCCCACAUCCUCCCAUACUCUCUAUGUCUCCAUACUACCCCAUGCCCCUGUGUCCCACCUGCAGCCCACGUCUUGUCUUCUCCUGAACAGCAUUCUGCUCCUGCAGCCUGUGUUCCCACAUCCCUUAAUGUCCCUAUAUCCACCAAACACACCCCCAGAGAGCCCUAUAGCUCCUCAAGGACCUUCUCAGACUCAGUACAUCUCCCCCACAGACAAGCUGGGCCAUCACAGGCUCCUGCAGUCCCCAGCAGCAGCCCACAUCCCCCUCUGAGCUCCCGCUGAAACCCCUUGUUUUCUUCCUCAGACCUCCCUUACCCCCUCAGUCCUCUCCUGGGAUCUCAGAGUCCCACAGUCCGUGACAGGACCCCCAUUACCAUCCCAGGAUCCCCAUAGCCCACCAACGAGGAACCCCAGCAGCAAUCCACAUCUCAGGAUGGGGCUCCAGUGGUGCACCAAUGCGUUCAUUCAAGAGAGGAGAAUGAAUGAGCGUAAAGGGGGGCCUUUCCUCCUGACGUUGCCCACCGCCUGCGUGUUGGCUGUGCCAUGCCAGCAGCAUUUUGUCCUCGAGCUGUGAGUGCAGGUAUGCGUGCAUACGGGGGUGUGCAGAGGUGGGGCUGAACAUCAGAGCGUGCAUUGCGCUUGGCUGUGUGCACAGUGCUUGCAGGUGAAAGUUUUGCAUCUGUGUGCAUGCACAUGGCAGUGUGCAAGGCUGGAGCAGUGCUCGAGUCUUCGUGCUCGUGGGUGUGCAGAGGGAUGGGGUGCACGCAUGUGAAAAGAUAGCAGGCACUGCAAAGGAAACAGCUCCAUCCCAGCCGCAACAGUGACAGGCAGGCAGGCACUGGGGAGGGCUGCACGGCAGAGGGACGCCCUCUGAGUGCCACAACAUGGAGCGCUGUCUGCAAGCAGAACAGUGCCGGGAUGGCAGCCUGGUGGUCCUAAGCUGCAGAGAUGCUGCUCUGGACCAACAGCCUGUCAUUUUUUUCUCAGAAAACGCCGUCCUUUUGCUGAACUUUGCUCAUUGUACACCCGUCAUCACAGGCAAAAAAUGCUCGGUGCUGCCCUGGGAAACUCAGCAAUCUCCACAGCGUUGCUCUCCAAGUUAGCACGCUCAUGGCCAGGCUGUGUUCCCUGCAGCUCUUUGCACGUGCUUUGCAGACAGUCUGUCUGUGGGCAGUGCAAAGGACUGCUGCCUCCGUUGCAUCACAUGGACGGCAGCAUUCGCUGACGGAGCUGUGGCAGUUCUGAGCGAGCGCCGCGAGACCAAUAACGAGGAGGUGGUGCAGCAGCUCUCCGAGUGCCGCUGGACAAAUCAGGCCGUGCGCUCUCUGUGAAUCUAUAAAUUUGACUGGUGUUUAUUGACUACGUUUGAAGGUGGAGUGCUGAGAUGGGCGGCACUCAGCGCUGCCCUGUAACGCCGCGCACUGCAGAAGCUGCUGCCUGCUGACGCUCCUCCUCUCAGUCCUUCAGCUGCAGCUUCUGCAUCAUCUCCACAAGGCUGUCCACUGCGGAGGCCUGGGAAGAAACGGAGCGAGGGUAGAAACAGGACACCACUUCCCUCGGGAUUUUACAGUCUCUUCCUUUCAUGUGUGACAGACAGAGGCCCUGAGAACAACAAGAGCCGUGUCUGUGUUCACCAAGGACUCACCUCUGCACGUGCAGCAGCAGCUCUGAGGGCAGCCUUCUUCAGCUCCACUCUCCUCUCUUUCGUUGUCGCUGUCUUCUUUCUGUAAGGCAAGAAAAAUAGAUGAAUUCAUUUUGUC
ensembl:lncRNA